UUAACUAUAGCUAUAAAAGCAAAAUCACUGUUAAUGAUUAGAUAAGUGUUGACUUUAGUUAAG
rnacentral:tRNA from 1 species